AAGAACGCAGCGAAAUGCGAUAAGUAGUGUGAAUUGCAGAAUUCAGUGAAUCAUCGAAUCUUUGAACGCACAUUGCGCCCCUUGGUAUUCCAUGGGGCAUGCCUGUUCGAGCGUCAUUUG
rnacentral:rRNA from 1 species